AGAGAGAUGGCUGAGCGGCUUAAAGCGCCUCCCUGCUAAGGAGGUUCACCUUAACGGGUGACGAGGGUUCAAAUCCCUCUCUCUCUGCCA
rnacentral:tRNA from 1 species